rnacentral:rRNA from 1 species
CGUAGGGUGCAAGCGUUAAUCGGAAUUACUGGGCGUAAAGCGUGCACAGGCGGUGAUGUAAGACAGAUGUGAAAUCCCCGGGCUCAACCUGGGAACUGCAUUUGUGACUGCAUCGCUGGAGUGCGGCAGAGGGGGAUGGAAUUCCGCGUGUAGCAGUGAAAUGCGUAGAUAUGCGGAGGAACACCGAUGGCGAAGGCAAUCCCCUGGGCCUGCACUGACGCUCAUGCACGAAAGCGUGGGGAGCAAACAGGAUUAGAUACCCUGGUAGUCCACGCCCUAAACGAUAGUCAACUGGUUGUUGGGUCUUCACUGACUCAGUAACGAAGCUAACGCGUAAAGUUGACCGCCUGGGGAGUACGGCCGCAAGGUUG